CAAGGGUACCUACGGUACCUGAAAACAACGAUGGCAUGGAAAACACUUCCAAUUUACCUGUUGUUGCUGCUGUCUGUUUUCGUGAUUCAGCAAGUUUCAUCUCAAGAUUUAUCAAGCUGUGCAGGGAGAUGUGGGGAAGGGUAUUCUAGAGAUGCCACCUGCAACUGUGAUUAUAACUGUCAACACUACAUGGAGUGCUGCCCUGAUUUCAAGAGAGUCUGCACUGCGGAGCUUUCCUGUAAAGGCCGCUGCUUUGAGUCCUUCGAGAGAGGGAGGGAGUGUGACUGCGACGCCCAAUGUAAGAAGUAUGACAAGUGCUGUCCUGAUUAUGAGAGUUUCUGUGCAGAAGUGCAUAAUCCCACAUCACCACCAUCUUCAAAGAAAGCACCUCCACCUUCAGGAGCAUCUCAAACCAUCAAAUCAACAACCAAACGUUCACCCAAAC
rnacentral:lncRNA from 1 species